rnacentral:rRNA from 1 species
AGCAGUGGGGAAUUUUGGACAAUGGGCGCAAGCCUGAUCCAGCAAUGCCGCGUGAGUGAAGAAGGCCUUCGGGUUGUAAAGCUCUUUUGUCAGGGAAGAAACGGUGAGGGCUAAUAUCCUUUGCUAAUGACGGUACCUGAAGAAUAAGCACCGGCUAACUACGUGCCAGCAGCCGCGGUAAUACGUAGGGUGCAAGCGUUAAUCGGAAUUACUGGGCGUAAAGCGUGCGCAGGCGGUUUUGUAAAGUUUGUCGUGAAAGCCCCGGGCUCAACCUGGGAAUUGCGAUGAAGACUGCAAGGCUUGAAUCUGGCAGAGGGGGGUAGAAUUCCACGUGUAGCAGUGAAAUGCGUAGAGAUGUGGAGGAACACUCGAUGGCGAAGGCAGCCCCCUGGGUCAAGAUUGACGCUCAUG